GAAUAACAAAAUCGAGUCUGUCGACAUCCGCAGACUCUACAAUACACACAGCAGUACGUUCUUGU
rnacentral:misc_RNA from 1 species